UGUUGACAAAAGACUCUAAAAUGCCAUUUAAAUUUACAUUCAGGGAAACAGAAUAAAGAAGGUACUUGUUCUCUACUGAGAGUGUUCUCAAAUUUUAUUCCUUUUCUGUUAUCUCAACAAAAGUAGUUUUUAGGCAGGAAACAAUGAAGAACAUUUUAUUUAAGAAAGGAUUUAAGGCCAAACAAAGGGAAGGCAUUAUAAGAGAAAAACCUAAGAUGGUUCAAUGUUCUCUCAUUAAAAAAGGUAUUUGGCUUGCAGUCCUUUAAAUAAUUUCUUGCAACAUUCUAUAACUGAGGAGUUCUUUAGAUUCUUGUUCUUGUAUUUCAGGGGGUGGGUGCCAUCCUAUACCAUCAUACAUCUGUCCACAGCCACUGGCUUUGCUCUGGUAUAACUUUUGCUACCAUGGAUCCCCACAUGGAAGUCAAGUCAUCAUGAACUAGAGAUUAUAGAUUUGUUAUCAUUUAGCAAAGAGAAGUGGAUUGAAAAGCACUCAUCUUUGUUGGUUAAAAGAGAGUAAACUGGCCAGGUGCAGUGGCUCAUGCCUGUAAUCCUAACACUUUGGGAGGCCGAGGUGGGUGGAUCACCUGAGGUCGGGAGUCUGAGAUUAGCCUGACCAACAUGGGGAAACCCCAUCUCUACUAAAAAUACUAAAUUAGCCGGGUGUGGUGGCGUAUGCCUGUAAUCCCAGCUACUCGGGAGGCUGAGGCAGGAGAAUCACUUGAACCCGGGAGGCAGAGGUUGCAGUGAGCCAAGAUCGUGCCAUCGCACUCCAGCCUGAGCAACAAGAGGAAACUCCAUCUCAAAAAAAAAAAAAAAAAAAAAAAAGAGAGAGAGAGAAAGUAAACCUACCAGUCUCCACUCUGCCCCACCAUUUACCUCUUGGCCCAGAGAUUCAAGAUCUAUACUAGUGAGGGAUCCAUAGCCAGAACUAUGAUUGAUCUUAAGAUUUGUAAUAUCUUAGAGUGAGAACGUAGGGUGGGUUGAAGAUCAUAAGAAUAUAAUGAUGAAAGGAAACAAUCAAAGGCCUUCAUCGGAGUAAUGAUGCUGAGGACGGUGACUAACCCAGCACUCUGACUCUACUGUUCAUUUAAAAUGUGUUUGUGCGAAUACAGCUGAAAGCACUAGUAAAGAGAAAAUGCGUGAGUUAUCGACAAUACAAUGUAAACAAAUCAAUAAAAAAGAAUAAAAGGAAGUAGAGUAAGAUGAAGUCAGGGAGAAGUACAAUGCAUGGUAUAGAUCAGUUCUCAAUAAAUGUUAGCUAUUAUCAUAUACUUGAAGUAGAUGUUACUGUGUUUUUUCAAUGUAGAACUUAAAGAAUAUACAUAUUGAUGUAUGUUUUUGAAAAAUAAUAGAACUGAGAAAAAUAAAAAUACCAUCUAAAUCUCUAAAGAAAAAUUCAAAGAAACAUAGUCCUUGUAAGAAAAGCCAAGAGUAGAAUGAUGGUUCCUAGAUGAUGGGGGAGGAGGUGUAUGGGGAAAGGGAAGAUGCUUACCAAAGGGUACAAAGCUUAAGUUAGACAGGAGGGGUAAUAUUUAGUAAUUUAUUGCAAAGAAUUUUGACUACAAUUCUGACUAUAAUGCCUAUAUAUUUCAAAAUUGCUAAUAGAUUUUAAAUGUUUUCAAUACAAAAAUUUAUUAUGUGUAGUGAUUAAUUUGUUAAUUAGGCAGAUUUAAUCAUUCCACAUUAUAAAGAUAUAGCAAAACAUCACAUUAUACCCCACAUAUAUAUACAGUUAUUACUUAUGAAUUUUAUAACUGUAUAUAUAAAUUAAAAAUAAAAUUUAAAAAAGGAAAAACAAAAGAGAAGUAUACAAACAGAAUGUCUAAACCAUGUAAGUCAAGUGACGGCAAUCAAUGCUGGACCAGCGGGGCAAUUUAUGGUUAGUUUCUUGGGCAUUUCACUUUUAAUCUCUGCAUUCUCCAAAGCCACUGCAAUCUACACAGCCCUAAUAUCAAUAACAAACAUAAUAUUUGUAUGAAUAUUUGAUGUUCUCUAAUCUCAUAUAAGGUGUCAAUGAAUAUCUUUGGAAGACUUUGCCUUUUUAUUGAUUAGUAAACACCUGAAAAAAACAAACCUGUGUCUCACUACGUCAACAUGACUUUAAGAUAAGUGCUCCAGCCCUUUCUUACAACUAGACACUGCCCGUGAGGCUUAGAGUCUAUCUAUACCAAAAUUCUGGAAGAGUAAAAAUGUUAUUAAGUGAUGUUAUUAAAAUUCAGAGACUCAUAUUUACAUAAAAUGUAGAAUUCAACACUACAUCAUGUAAAAAAUACAAAUCCAACCCAAAAGAAAAAUAACAUUUUGAGUUAAAGAAUAGGCAAACAUUUACCAAGCAAAACAGAAAUAUAAUGAGAACAGGAAUAACAAUAUAAAUUGAAAACUAAGUAAAUUUCAUGGCAAAAAUAAAUGAGAUGAGAAUCAUUUUUGGUACCGGCAGGAAAUCCAUACAGAUCUGCAGCAACCUCAAUUCCUGCCUCUUCAGAAGAAAGAAUUCGAGUGAGGGGCAUAAAGCAGGAGGAGAGACCUAGGCAAGUUUUAGAGCAGAAGUGAAAGUUUAUUAAAAAGCUUUAGAACAGGAAUGGAAGGAUGGAAAGUACACUAGGAAGAGGGCAAAGCAGGUGACUUGAGAAAUCAAGUGUGCAGUUUGACCUUUAGACUUGAGGUUUUACCUGUUGGCGUGCUUUUAGGUUCUUGCUUCCCUUCUUCCCUGAUGCUUCCCUUGGGGUGGGGUGUCUGCAUGCACAGUGGCCUGCCAGCGCUUGGGAGGGGAGUACACACAGUAUGCAGUGUUUACUGGAGUUGUAGGCAUGCUCACUUGAGGCAUUCUUCCCUUAGCCAAAUGUCCGUAGGAGGUCGUAUACCAGUUAAACUAUGCCAUUUUGCCUCCUAAUGCACAUGCGUUGAGCCCAAUCGCUCAACUCCUGAGAGCUUAUCAAGAAGCUACUGAUCAACAGUUUCAGGUUUUUCCUAUCUAUAGGGAGCCUGCCUGUCCCUGGUGCCAGCUGCAAUCAAUUAUUAUUUUAGAGAGACAGUUAACAACCACCUGACCAUCACCUGAUAGCCUGACAGUCCAGGUUGGUGUGGGGGGGUGGAGCUUCUCCUGCCUUGUUCCUGCCUGACUAGCUGCCUACUUUAACAUUUUUAACGAUAAAGAAUGUGAGUUCCAUGAGGAAGAGGGCAGGGAUCUUGAUUUUGUUCCCUGCUGUAUUCCCAAGGUGUAGAAUGAAGACUGACACAUAACCAUGCCUGCUUUCUCUUCACCUUCCACCAUGAUUGGUAGUUUCCUGAGGCCUCCCCAGCCAUGUCCCCUGUACAGCCUGUGGAACUGGGAGCAGCUGCAAAGGAACACCACAAUGAUAUUCCACUGGAAAAAGGGCCAAACCACCUGAUCAUAAGAACAUCUUAUCAAUAUCCUCCUGGGCAGCAAGCCAUACUGCCCAGCUCCCUCCCACCCAUACCUAUAAGAACAUGGCAGCUGAGAUGGAGAUGAAAAAAAAUC
rnacentral:lncRNA from 10 species